GGCUGAAAUUCGCCUUCACGAAGUCGGAAUUGCUAGUAAUGGCAGGUCAGCAUACUGCCGUGAAUACGUUCCCGGGCCUUGUACACACCGCCCGUCACACCAUGAGAGUUAGGAAUACCCGAAGCCUGUGAGCCAACUUUCUAAGAGGCAGCAGUCGAAGGUAGAACUAAUGAUUGGGGUGAAGUCGUAACAAGGUACC
rnacentral:rRNA from 1 species